CUCCUCCUCCUUCCUCCCGCCAUCUUCGUCUGUCAGCUGAUCCGAGGUGGACGGCGUUCCGCGUGUCGGCCAAUAUCCUUGUAAUCCAGGACGACACAGACGGCCAUGGAUGGAAGCAAGAUGCUGGACUUUGUGGACCCUGGCGGCCAUGGGGAGGUGUCCGUGGGCGCUGGGCAAGGCCGAGGGCGAGGAGUACAGCACACUGGAUGAGGGGGACCAUGGAUGGUGCAGGGCUCUCAGGAGAUGGACAAGCAGGAACAGGGGACCAUAACUCACAGGUGUUCUUCAUUGAGUGUGUGAGCGCCGCUGUCGUCACCAUGAACACCUGCUCGGAGGCACCAAGGCUAUCAAAACCCCGAGCUGCGUCAAUCACAGGUCAGCCUCUUCCCUCCCCUCGGCUAAUCUCUACGAACAUGCACAACGAUGUCUCGGCUCCUCAUGUUCGCUACACCCUCAUGGUCAUGCAAUGGGGGCAGCUUAUCGACCAUGACAUCAUCUUCACGCCCAUCAACAAAGGGUUCCAGGACUCCAUUCUUGACUGCCGGCGCUGCGACUCACCCCAGACGGUUCACCCCGAGUGCUUCCCUAUCGGCAUUCCCUCCAAUGACCCGUUCUUUCCAUCAGUCAAUAUCUCCUCUGGGCAGCCUUUCUGUAUCCCUCUGACGCGCUCCAUGCCGGGGCAGCUGACUCUAGGUUACUGAGAGCAGAUGAACCAGGUCACUGCAUUUGUGGAUGCCUCACACACCUAUGGCUCAGACAAGUGUGAACAGAGACAG